rnacentral:rRNA from 1 species
UACGUAGGAGACGAGCGUUGUCCGGAAUUACUGGGCGUAAAGCGCGUGUAGGCGGAUGGGCAAGUCUGCUGUGAAAGCUCCUGGCUUAACCGGGAGUGGUCGGUGGAAACUGCCAAUCUGGAGGACGGUAGAGGUAGGUAGAAUUCCCGGUGUAGUGGUGAAAUGCGUAGAGAUCGGGAGGAAUACCUGUGGCGAAGGCGGCCUACUGGGCCGGACCUGACGCUGAGACGCGAAGGCGUGGGGAGCGAACGGG